GCAGACACAUUCCAGCCGAUCAGCAGCAGACCCUCCCUCCCAGGCCCUCCCACCUCCUGGACAGCAUCCAUUUUACAUUCAUUGUGAAGCUGCAUUCUUAGUGAGCUGUCCAGGAGGUGGGAGGGUGUGGGAGGGAGGGUCUGCUGCUGAUUGGCUAGAAUGUGUCU